AAGACUAUAGACCUGCGGAGUACCUGCGGAGGGAUCAUUAUAGAGUGGUAAACCUCCCGUAAAAAGGGGGGGACCUCCCGUCCUUUGCAGGCUCUUUUUUAAGGGGCUUUUUUGACUUUCUGCUUCGGUGGGGUUAUCCUACCGGAACAACUUCAAAACUCUGAAUCAAAAAAAUCGUUCUGUCCGAGGGCUUUUUUAUAAAAUAAAAAAAAACUUUCAACAACGGAUCUCUAGAUCGGA
rnacentral:misc_RNA from 1 species